CUGGUUUGAAAUGUUUGCAGUCCGUCAUAAUGCGGCCUUUGUUGUUUAUGAAUAUCUAGUUUAUUAAAAAUAUUGUUUCUUGACAGUUUAGUUAGCCGAUUAGCUAUGAAGCUAACGCGGAAACAGGUUCUCGCGAAGGCGAAGGCCUCCGACCUGGAGAGCGUGAAGAAGCUGAACUGCUGGGGAUGCAACCUGACUGAUAUUUCCAUCUUCUCUCAAAUGGCCAACAUCGAGGUGCUGACACUCAG